GAUGAACGCUGGCGGCGUGCCUAAUACAUGCAAGUAGAACGCUGAAGCUUGGUGCUUGCACCGAGCGGAUGAGUUGCGAACGGGUGAGUAACGCGUAGGUAACCUGCCUCUUAGCGGGGGAUAACUAUUGGAAACGAUAGCUAAUACCGCAUAAAAGUCGACAUCGCAUGAUGUUGACUUGAAAGGUGCAAUUGCAUCACUAAGAGAUGGACCUGCGUUGUAUUAGCUAGUUGGUGAGGUAACGGCUCACCAAGGCGACGAUACAUAGCCGACCUGAGAGGGUGAUCGGCCACACUGGGACUGAGACACGGCCCAGACUCCUACGGGAGGCAGCAGUAGGGAAUCUUCGGCAAUGGGGGCAACCCUGACCGAGCAACGCCGCGUGAGUGAAGAAGGUUUUCGGAUCGUAAAGCUCUGUUGUAAGAGAAGAACGAGUGUGAGAGUGGAAAGUUCACACUGUGACGGUAACUACCA
rnacentral:rRNA from 1 species